GAUGAACGCUGGCGGCGUGCCUAAUACAUGCAAGUCGAACGCGUUGAGAAAAGUGCUUGCACUUUUCAAUUUGAGUGGCGAACGGGUGAGUAACACGUGGGCAACCUACCUGAUAGCGGGGGAUAACGAGUGGAAACAUUCGCUAAUACCGCAUAACAAUAGAGAAGGCAUCUUCUUUAUUUAAAAGGCGCUUUCAAGCGUCACUAACAGAUGGGCCCGCGGUGCAUUAGUUAGUUGGUGGGGUGAAGGCCUACCAAGACGAUGAUGCAUAGCCGAGUUGAGAGACUGAUCGGCCACAUUGGGACUGAGACACGGCCCAAAUUCCUACGGGAGGCUGCAGUAGGGAAUCUUCCACAAUGGACGAAAGUCUGAUGGAGCAACGCCGCGUGUGUGAUGAAGGCUUUCGGGUCGUAAAGCACUGUUGUAUGGGGAGAAAUGCUAGGCUAGGAAAUGAGCUUAGUUUGACGGUACCAUACCAGAAAGGGACGGCUAAAUACGUGCCAGCCGCCGCUGUAA
rnacentral:rRNA from 1 species